AUUGAACGCUGGCGGCAUGCCUUACACAUGCAAGUCGAACGGCAGCGGGGGAGAAGCUUGCUUUUCCUGCCGGCGAGUGGCGAACGGGUGAGUAAUACAUCGGAACGUGCCCUGUAGUGGGGGAUAACUAGUCGAAAGAUUAGCUAAUACCGCAUACGACCUGAGGGUGAAAGUGGGGGACCGUAAGGCCUCAUGCUAUAGGAGGGGCCGAUGUCUGAUUAGCUAGUUGGUGGGGUAAAGGCCUACCAAGGCGACGAUCAGUAGCUGGUCUGAGAGGACGAUCAGCCACACUGGGACUGAGACACGGCCCAGACUCCUACGGGAGGCAGCAGUGGGGAAUUUUGGACAAUGGGCGAAAGCCUGAUCCAGCAAUGCCGCGUGUGUGAAGAAGGCCUUCGGGUUGUAAAGCACUUUUGUCCGGAAAGAAAUGGCUCUGGUUAAUACCUGGGGUCGAUGACGGUACCGGAAGAAUAAGGACCGGCUAACUACGUGCCAGCCGCCGCCGUAAUAC
rnacentral:rRNA from 1 species